rnacentral:rRNA from 1 species
GACGAACGCUGGCGGCGUGCUUAACACAUGCAAGUCGAACGGAAAGGCCCUGCUUUUGUGGGGUGCUCGAGUGGCGAACGGGUGAGUAACACGUGAGUAACCUGCCCUUGACUUUGUGAUAACUUCAGGAAACUGGGGCUAAUACCGGAUAGGAGCUCCUGCUGCAUGGGGGGGGUUGGAAAGUUUCGGCGGUUGGGGAUGGUCUCGCGGCUUAUCAGCUUGUUGGUGGGGUAGUGGCUUACCAAGUCUUUGACGGGUAGCCGGCCUGGGAGGGUGACCGGCCACCAUGCGACUGAGGGACGGACCAGAAGCGUACGGGACGCAGCAGUCGGGAAUAUUGCACAGUGGGGGGAAGCCUGAUGCAGCAACGCCGGGUGCGGGAUGAUGGGCUUCGGGGUGUAAACAGCUGUGGCCUGUGACGAAGCGUGAGUGACGGUAAUGGGUAAAGAAGCACCGGCUAACUACGUG